UGAAUACGAGAUGCUACGGCAUUGAAGCAGUCUAUGUCAGACUUCCAAGAAAAGCUCGCACUGUCAUUAACAAAAAUGCCUGUACCAUAACCGACACAGGUGGGUAGGUAGAGUAUACUAAGGGGCGCGAGAUAACUCUCUCUAAGGAACUCGGCAAAAUGACUCCGUAACUUCGGGAGAAGGAGUGCCUUAUUUCUUAAGGUUGCAAUAACAAGAUCCAAGCAACUGUUUAUCAAAAACACAGGUCUCCGCGAAGUCGUAAGACGAUGUAUGGGGGCUGACGCCUGCCCAGUGCCAGAAGGUUAAAGAAGUUGGUUAGCCUUGCGAAGCUGAUGACUGAAGCCCUGGUGAACGGCGGCCGUAACAAUAACGGUCCUAAGGUAGCGAAAUUCCUUGUCGGGUAAGUUCCGACCCGCACGAAAGGCGUAAUGAUUUGGAUACUGUCUCGGAGAGGGGCUCGGUGAAAUAGACUUGUCUGUGAAGAUGCGGACUACCUGCACCUGGACAGAAAGACCCUAUGAAGCUUUACUGUAACUUGAGAUUGAAAUUGGACUUUAUUUGCGCAGUAUAGGUGGGAGACGUUGAGAAUAUUCUUGCGGGAAUAUUGGAGUCAUCAGUGAGAUACCACUCUUGUAAUGUUAGAUUUCUAACUUUGUAUCAUGAUCUGGUCAAAGGACAGUUUCAGGCGGGCAGUUUGACUGGGGCGGUCGCCUCCCAAACGGUAACGGAGGCGCACAAAGGUUUCCUCUGAACGUGUAGAAAUCGUAUCUAGAGUGUAAAGGCAUAAGGAAGCUUGACUGUGAGACCUACAAGUCGAGCAGGGACGAAAGUCGGUCUUAGUGAUCUGACGGUGCUGAGUGGAAAGGCCGUCACUCAACGGAUAAAAGUUACUCUAGGAUAACAGGCUGAUCUCCCCCAAGAGUUCACAUCGACGGGGAGGUUUGGCACCUCGAUGUCGGCUCAUCGCAUCCUGGGGCGGUAGUACGUCCCAAGGGUUGGGCUGUUCGCCCAUGAAAGCGGUACGCGAGCUGGGUUCAGAACGUCGUGAGACAGUUCGGUCCAUAUCCGGUGUAGGCGUUAGAAUAUUGAGAGGAGCCUUCUUUAGUACGAGAGGACCGAGAAGGACAUACCUCUGGUGUACCAGUUAUCGUGCCAACGGUAAACGCUGGGUAGCUAUGUAUGGAGAGGAUAACCGCUGAAAGCAUCUGAGUGGGAAGCCCACCUCAAGAUAAG
rnacentral:rRNA from 1 species